AUACUUACCUGGCAAGGGAAUACCGUGUCAAGAAAGGCGGUUCACCCAGGGCGAGGCUUAGCCAUCACACCAGCUAUGCUGACCCCUGUGAAUUUCCCAAAUGUGGAAAUCUCGAUUGCAUAAUUUAUGGUAGUGGGGGACUGCGUCCGCGCUCUCCCCUG